AUUGAACGCUGGCGGCAUGCCUUACACAUGCAAGUCGAACGGUAACAGGUCUUUCGGGAUGCUGACGAGUGGCGAACGGGUGAGUAAUACAUCGGAACGUGCCCAGUAAUGGGGGAUAGCUCGGCGAAAGCCGGAUUAAUACCGCAUACGCCCUGAGGGGGAAAGUGGGGGACCGCAAGGCCUCACGUUAUUGGAGCGGCCGAUGGCUGAUUAGCUAGUUGGUAGGGUAAAGGCCUACCAAGGCGACGAUCAGUAGCUGGGCUGAGAGGACGAUCAGCCACACUGGGACUGAGACACGGCCCAGACUCCUACGGGAGGCAGCAGUGGGGAAUUUUGGACAAUGGGGGAAACCCUGAUCCAGCAAUGCCGCGUGUGCGAAGAAGGCCUUCGGGUUGUAAAGCACUUUUGUCAGGGAAGAAAUCCUUUGGGCUAAUACCCUAGGGGGAUGACGGUACCUGAAGAAUAAGCACCGGCUAACUACGUGCCAGCAGCCGCAGUAAAAC
rnacentral:rRNA from 1 species